AGAUUGAGUGGGAGGCAACAAUGCAAGGGUAUUUUUGUAGUUUACGCGGAAGAAGCAUUUCCAAAAAAAAUAUUCAUCACACAGGUUAUAUAUGUUUGGCUUUCAAAAACUCCCAGCUCUCAAGUUUACAUGGAAGAAGCAUUUCCUGAUGGAGAACAUUUUGCAGCACUAUACAAGCUUUUCACAGAGCUCGCUCAAGAAACAUAGAAGCUGAUAAGAAUACUGGUAGCCCAAGUGAAGGGAGACCAGUUAGCCUCGCAACUGCAUCAAGAAGAAAUUAGGAACGGUAACGAGGUCCAGAACACAAAACCUCCUGCAUCAUCAGCUGCAAUCAGAACAAUUAUAUGAAUUAUGGUUUGAUCCCGGGUGGAGAGUGGUUGAAAUUGUUGGUUUUGUGGUGGAGGUGGGGAAGAGAGAGGGGACUGCUGGUCCUGGUUAUGGUGGCUGUUGCAUGGGUGUACUAUGAAUUCUCGUUUGGAAUCCCCUGAUUGUUGUAGUUUUGUCAAGCGGCAUGGUGGCCGGUUGUGAAGAAGCUGUCGUGAUUGGUCUUUGGUGUGGAUUGUCUGGGUUGGUCGGUAGUGGCUAGCUGCUAUCUGUGGGCAGUGGCGUGAUUAACAGCUAGGGUUUUGGAGAGAAAUAGUUGAUCUUUGUUCGGAGAGAGGGAAAUCAAGAGUUCUACCAUUCGACAAAUAAGCGUUGUAUUCAAUUUGCAUGCAAUUUGUCUUUUGGUUGAAACAAUCUAUUAGCUUUUGAUUAGAACAAGAAGAGAUGGAACGGAAGGGAGAAAGAGUCUGAAGAAACAAUUACAGAAAACUUGCAUAAGGGGG
rnacentral:lncRNA from 1 species